CCGAGUGUUAGGGUCCCUCUGGGGCCUGACCUCCAACCCUGUGUCUACCGUACCAUGUUGCUUCGGCGGGCCCGUCCCCUUGGGGGACCGCCGGAGGGUUAUCUGACCCUCUGGCCCGUGUCCGCCGAUGGCCCAACCUCAAAAAAAACUCUUGAUUAAACAUGUCUGAGUUGUACCUACAAAAAUCAAACCA
rnacentral:misc_RNA from 1 species